AGUCAACAUGCCCAGGGGACGUGGAUAACCUCGGGAAACUGAGGAUAAACCGCGAUAGGUCAUCACUUCUGGAAUGGGUAAUGACUUAAAUCUAUAUGGCCCCUGGAUUGGACUGCGGCCGAUCAGGCUGUUGGUGAGGUAAUGGCCCACCAAACCUGUAACCGGUACGGGCUCUGAGAGGAGGAGCCCGGAGAUGGGCACUGAGACAAGGGCCCAGGCCCUAUGGGGCGCAGCAGGCGCGAAACCUCUGCAAUAGGCGAAAGCUUGACAGGGUUACUCUGAGUGAUUUCCGUUAAGGAGAUCUUUUGGCACCUCUAAAAAUGGUGCAGAAUAAGGGGUGGGCAAGUCUGGUGUCAGCCGCCGCGGUAAUACCAGCACCCCGAGUGGUCGGGACGUUUAUUGGGCCUAAAGCAUCCGUAGCCGGUUCUACAAGUCUUCCGUUAAAUCCACCUGCUUAACAGAUGGGCUGCGGAAGAUACUAUAGAGCUAGGAGGCGGGAGAGGCAAGCGGUACUCGAUGGGUAGGGGUAAAAUCCGUUGAUCCAUUGAAGACCACCAGUGGCGAAGGCGGCUUGCCAGAACGCGCUCGACGGUGAGGGAUGAAAGCUGGGGGAGCAAACCGGAUUAGAUACCCGGGUAGUCCCAGCUGUAAACGAUGCAGACUCGGUGAUGAGUUGGCUUAUUGCUAACUCAGUGCCGCAGGGAAGCCGUUAAGUUUGCCGCCUGGGGAGUACGGUCGCAAGACUGAAACUUAAAGGAAUUGGCGGGGGAGCACCACAAGGGGUGAAGCCUGCGGUUCAAUUGGAGUCAACGCCGGAAAUCUUACCGGGGGCGACAGCAGAGUGAAGGUCAAGCUGAAGACUUUACCAGACAAGCUGAGAGGAGGUGCAUGGCCGUCGCCAGCUCGUGCCGUGAGGUGUCCUGUUAAGUCAGGUAACGAGCGAGAUCCCUGCCUCUAGUUGCUACCAUUAUUCUCAGGAGUAGUGGAGCUAAUUAGAGGGACCGCCGUCGCUGAGACGGAGGAAGGUGGGGGCUACGGCAGGUCAGUAUGCCCCGAAACCCUCGGGCCACACGCGGGCUGCAAUGGUAAGGACAAUGAGUUUCGAUUCCGAAAGGAGGAGGCAAUCUCUAAACCUUACCACAGUUAUGAUUGAGGGCUGAAACUCGCCCUCAUGAAUAUGGAAUCCCUAGUAACCGCGUGUCACUAUCGCGCGGUGAAUACGUCCCUGCUCCUUGCACACACCGCCCGUCGCUUCAUCGAAGUUGGUUCUUGGCGAGGUGGUGCCUAAUUGGUACUAUCGAACCUGGGGUCAGCAACGAGGGAGAAGUCGUAACAAGGUGGCCGUAGGGGAACCUGCGGCCGGAUCACCUCCUUAGUUAUUAUAUUGUAGUAGUGGUAGUGGGUUAGAAGGGGCCUUGUGCUCUUUCUAAUCUGCGAGACUUUACAAUAAUUAUACUAAUAAAAUAAAUUCCCUGAAUCUAUCAUAAUAUGUAUACACACAUACACACACAGAGAGAGAGAUACAUACAUGUGUCUAUUCCUAUCCUGUCCUAAAGACAGAAUGGACUAAGACGAUAUGAUGAUAAGAUAAAGGGGGUGCAAUCAAAUCAAAACUGAUCAAUCAAUUCCUUCAUUUUUCAUACGGUUUGAAAAACUGAUUAGUAUGUUGUAUUUUUUUGACAAAAAAUUAGUCGUAGUUGCUAGACUAAAUUCUGUUGGCGUAAUCUGUGUAAAUAUUAUAAUACAUAUUCGAAAUAAAAACCAUAAAUCAUCUAUCUGAUCAUUCUAUCUAAAAUCAGCAUGUAGUAUCGGAUGCAAUUCUUUGUCUCAUGUAAAUGAGGAGUAGAAGAUAAAGAAUGAAGUUGAUGUAGUAAACGUGAGUUUACAAUGAUCAUCAUGUACAGGAAAACUCCGUUAAAUUAUCAAUUACAUAUAGUUGAAGAAGUAACAACAAUAACUAUUCGCGUAAUAAUGGAAUAGAAUUGUAGUAAAAUAUUAUGUGUAACUGGUUGUAGUGCAAACAGAGAUUUAAUAUAUAAACAUACAUACGAAAUACCAAUACCAACCAAAUUGAAUUGAAUUAGACUUUUCUACCACAAGUGGAACUAACUAACAAACUAACUGACUAGAUAACUAAUAACAAACAAACAAACAAACAAAAGAUCCAAAGGACAAAGAAAGAAACUCCAAAAAAGAAAGUAAGUAAUUAAAUAAAUUAAUUAAUUUAUAACUACUGGACUGGUGCAAAGACGCCGAUUGGUGGAUG
rnacentral:rRNA from 1 species